GCUGGCGGCAUGCUUAACACAUGCAAGUCGCACGAACCUUUCGGGGUUAGUGGCGGACGGGUGAGUAACGCGUAGGAACCUAUCCAUGGGUGGGGGAUAACUUCGGGAAACUGGAGCUAAUACCGCAUGAUACCUGAGGGUCAAAGGCUUUUGUCGCCGAUGGAGGGGCCUGCGUUUGAUUAGCUAGUUGGUUAGGUAAGAGCUGACCAAGGCGAUGAUCAAUAGCUGGUUUGAGAGGAUGAUCAGCCACACUGGGACUGAGACACGGCCCAGACUCCUACGGGAGGCAGCAGUGGGGAAUAUUGGACAAUGGGGGCAACCCUGAUCCAGCAAUGCCGCGUGUGUGAAGAAGGUCUUCGGAUUGUAAAGCACUUUCACUAGGGAAGAUGAUGACGGUACCUAGAGAAGAAGCCCCGGCUAACUUCGUGCCAGCAGCCGCGGUAAUACGAAGGGGGCUAGCGUUGCUCGGAAUGACUGGGCGUAAAGGGCGCGUAGGCGGUUUAUACAGUCAGAUGUGAAAUCCCCGGGCUUAACCUGGGAACUGCAUUUGAUACGUAUAGACUAGAGUCCGAGAGAGGAUUGCGGAAUUCCCAGUGUAGAGGUGAAAUUCGUAGAUAUUGGGAAGAACACCAGUUGCGAAGGCGGCAAUCUGGCUCGGAACUGACGCUGAGGCGCGAAAGCGUGGGGAGCGAACAGGAUUAGAUACCCUGGUAGUCCACGCUGUAAACGAUGUGUGCUGGAUGUUGGGAAGCUUAGCUUUUCAGUGUCGGAGCUAACGCGUUAAGCACACCGCCUGGGGAGUACGGCCGCAAGGUUGAAACUCAAAGAAAUUGACGGGGGCCCGCACAAGCGGUGGA
rnacentral:rRNA from 1 species